rnacentral:rRNA from 1 species
UACGAAGGGGGCUAGCGUUGUUCGGAAUCACUGGGCGUAAAGCGCAUGUAGGCGGGUCUUUAAGUCAGGGGUGAAAUGCCAAGGCUCAACCUUGGAACUGCCUUUGAUACUGGAGACCUUGAGUCCGGGAGAGGUGAGUGGAACUGCGAGUGUAGAGGUGAAAUUCGUAGAUAUUCGCAAGAACACCAGUGGCGAAGGCGGCUCACUGGCCCGGUACUGACGCUGAGACGCGAAAGCGUGGGGAGCAAACAGG